rnacentral:rRNA from 1 species
UUAAACCUCUUCCAGAGUAUCAAUUGGAGGGAAAGUCUGGUGCCAGCAGCCGCGGUAAUUCCAGCUCCAACAGCGUAUAUUAAAAUUGUUGCAGUUAAAAAGCUCGUAGUUGAAUUUCUGCUGCAUUGCAUUUUCUCUUAUACGAGUUUUUGCAUUGUGGCUUAUUUCGGUUAUAAAAUUUAUUUUAUUUCCGGAUAUUUACUUUGAGAAAAUUAGAGUGCUCAAAGCAGGCUUUUGCCUUGAAUAGUUUAGCAUGGAAUAAUAAAGUAGGACUUUGGUUCUAUUUUGUUGGUUUUAGGUACCAAAGUAAUGGUUAAUAGGAACAGUUGGGGGCAUUCGUAUUUAACUGUCAGAGGUGAAAUUCUUAGAUUUGUUAAAGACGAACUACUGCGAGAGCAUUUGCCAAGGAUGUUUUCAUUAAUCAAGAACGAAAGUUAGGGGGUCGAAGACGAUCAGGUACCGUCGUAGUCCUAACCAUGAACUAUGCCGACUAGAGAUUGGAGGUCGUCAGUUUUUACGACUCCUUCAGCACCUUGAGAGAAAUCAAAGUAUUUGGGUUCUGGUGGGAGUUUUGGCGCUGGGUUGACAACUU